CGCUUGACCUCCAUUCUCCUCUCCCUCUCCUUCACUCCCCGAUGCCUACACCCUUGGGCCGCGGCCACCACCGCUCCCUUUUGGUGCCCCGUCACCCUCCCUCCUCGGCGUCCGCGCUGAUCUCCCACGGCAGGGGCACCAUGCUGUGACGGUCGUCUUCAUUCUCUUUGGCUUGACUCUUCGGUGCUGGAUGGGCCAAAUAUUCAUUUCGGUCUUGGUAUAUUCAUGGUGUUUUGCUGGCUGGUAGAAGAAUCAUGAUUAAUUCUAGACCAUUAGGAAUAAUAUUUCCAUAAUAGAUGAACUGGUUGUUGCCGGUUGCUAGUCUAUAGAAUAGAUAAGUGAAUCUGUGAUGCAAUCGAACAUUUUUUUGGAUUUUUCGUUAGUGACUUGAGAUGUAAUUCAAUAUGUUUUGAUUAGUAAACAUGUGAUUUUUUGUCAGAGAAUCUAUGACAAUAUUUGAAUGGGCUGAAUUUGAUUAAU